ensembl:lncRNA
AUUAAUAUAAAAUACAAAAUAUGUCAUUGUAUUAAGACCACUAUUAGUAAAGCAGAAUGAAAAUAAAUGCAAAAAAAAAAAUCAAAUGACAAACUAGUGACUGUAUAAGCCACGAUGCUGUGAAGUCGUGUCAUGACUCGCUCCAUGUUUCAGGUCAGCAAGUGACUCUUUCACAGCGCGCGCUCUGAUUAAUGACUGGGAACUGUCCUAAGUGCGCUUUUACUCCUCCAGACUGCGAAAGACCCUCUGAACUCCCUGCUGGAAACGCAAAUCCCCGCAGCGCGUGUGUAUGAGCGGAUCUCACGCAAAUGACGCACGGCUGCGUGACGGCGACAGACAUGUGCGCAAACUCUACAGACUGCGUGGGUGUCCUGCUCCUUCUGCUCCAGCUGCAGUUCAGUCAGACCAAACCCAUCGACUUCAUCUGUGACCCAGAGGUGAGGAGACGCAUGGAUGUGACGGAGACGCUGGAGCCGCUCAUGACCCACUGCUUGGACCAGCUGCCCUCGGACGUCCUGCAGCCGUGUGUCCGGAUAAACAUGGGAGCGUGGAAACAGACAUCAAUUUCCACACUGACUCCAGAGCGGGACUGCGAGGGUCAUAAAACAUCCAGCUUGACUCAGACGGUGCGUUUCUACAGAAAGCUUCUGCGUGGUCCUUUGGAGCUCCUGAUGAAGGAUCUCACACACAUGUGCACAACACACACAUGAACUCCUGACACACACAACAUACAGAUGCUCAAAGGAUCCGUCUCAGUGCACUGUUACGCCUCUGAACAUCUCGAUUAAGGAAAUUCAAGAAGUGAAAAUAAAUAAAUAAAAAUGAUUUGGGAAAAUAACA